GGCGUAGGCGGCUCGUUAAGUCAGAUGUGAAAUCUCCCGGCUCAACUGGGAGGGUGCAUUUGAUACUGGCGGUCUAGAGUGCAGCAGAGGAAGAUGGAAUUCCCGGUGUAGUGGUGAAAUGCGUAGAUAUCGGGAAGAACACUAGUGGCGAAGGCGGUCUUCUGGGCUGUAACUGACGCUGAGGUCCGAAGGCGUGGGGAGCAAACAGGAUCAGAUACCCUGGUAGUCCACGCAGUAAACGAUGGAUACUAGGUAUGGGGAGUAUCGACCCUCUCCGUGCCGAAGCUAACGCUUUAGUAUCCCGCCUGGGAGUACGGUCGCAAGACUAAA
rnacentral:rRNA from 1 species